AGAGUUUGAUCCUGGCUCAGGAUGAACGCUAGCUACAGGCUUAACACAUGCAAGUCGAGGGGCAGCAUCAUCAAAGCUUGCUUUGAUGGAUGGCGACCGGCGCACGGGUGAGUAACACGUAUCCAACCUGCCGACAACACUGGGAUAGCCUUUCGAAAGAAAGAUUAAUACCGGAUGGCAUAGUUUUCCCGCAUGGGAUGAUUAUUAAAGAAUUUCGGUUGUCGAUGGGGAUGCGUUCCAUUAGGCAGUUGGCGGGGUAACGGCCCACCAAACCAACGAUGGAUAGGGGUUCUGAGAGGAAGGUCCCCCACAUUGGAACUGAGACACGGUCCAAACUCCUACGGGAGGCAGCAGUGAGGAAUAUUGGUCAAUGGACGAGAGUCUGAACCAGCCAAGUAGCGUGAAGGAUGACUGCCCUAUGGGUUGUAAACUUCUUUUAUAAAGGAAUAAAGUCGGGUAUGUAUACCCGUUUGCAUGUACUUUAUGAAUAAGGAUCGGCUAACUCCGUGCCAGCAGCCGCGGUAAUACGGAGGAUCCGAGCGUUAUCCGGAUUUAUUGGGUUUAAAGGGAGCGUAGGCGGGUUGUUAAGUCAGUUGUGAAAGUUUGCGGCUCAACCGUAAAAUUGCAGUUGAUACUGGCGACCUUGAGUGCAACAGAGGUAGGCGGAAUUCGUGGUGUAGCGGUGAAAUGCUUAGAUAUCACGAAGAACUCCGAUUGCGAAGGCAGCUCACUGGACUGCAACUGACACUGAUGCUCGAAAGUGUGGGUAUCAAACAGGAUUAGAUACCCUGGUAGUCCACACAGUAAACGAUGAAUACUCGCUGUUUGCGAUAUACAGUAAGCGGCCAAGCGAAAGCGUUAAGUAUUCCACCUGGGGAGUACGCCGGCAACGGUGAAACUCAAAGGAAUUGACGGGGGCCCGCACAAGCGGAGGAACAUGUGGUUUAA
rnacentral:rRNA from 1 species